CGGUGACUGGGGUGAAGUCGUAACAAGGUAGCCGUAGGUGAACUGCAGAAGGAUCA
rnacentral:rRNA from 1 species